rnacentral:misc_RNA from 1 species
UUUCCGUAGGUGAACCUGCGGAGGGAUCAUUAUUGGAUUUUGAAACUUCAGGCUGCUGCUGGCUCUCCUCGGAGGGCAUGUGCACGCUUGUUGUCCAUUAUUUCUCCCACUGUGCACAAAUUGUAGACCUUUCAGUAGGCCUAUGUUGUUUUUCACAAUCUCUGAAUGUAAUAGAAUGGUUUUGAAUCUUGGGAAAUACAAUACAACUUUCAGCAACGGAUCUCUUGGCUCUC